GACGAACGCUGGCGGCGUGCUUAACACAUGCAAGUCGAACGAUGAACUUGGAGCUUGCUCUGGGGGAUUAGUGGCGAACGGGUGAGUAACACGUGAGUAACCUGCCCUGGACUCUGGGAUAACUUCGAGAAAUCGGAGCUAAUACCGGAUAGGACCUUGCACCGCAUGGUGUGGGGUGGAAAGUUUUUCGGUUUGGGAUGGACUCGCGGCCUAUCAGCUUGUUGGGGAGGUAAUGGCUCACCAAGGCGUCGACGGGUAGCCGGCCUGAGAGGGUGACCGGCCACACUGGGACUGAGACACGGCCCAGACCCCUACGGGAGGCAGCAGUGGGGAAUAUUGCACAAUGGGCGCAAGCCUGAUGCAGCAACGCCGCGUGCGGGAUGACGGCCUUCGGGUUGUAAACCGCUUUUAGUAGGGAAGAAGCCUUCGGGUGACGGUACCUGCAGAAAAAGGACCGGCUAACUACGUGCCAGCCGCCGCCGUAAGAC
rnacentral:rRNA from 1 species